UUAAAUUAUUCCAGAAGGCCCGCCAGGGUCUGAUUUGCCACUGUCUGCUUCCUCGUUGCCUUUGAAUGGGACCCUUGAUCCAAGGCUUUCAGAGACCAGCCGGUGCUGAUGGGGGCCUGUGACUUGGCGGUGGCGCCAGUUUGCUCCUUCUCUGUCUCGGGCAUGGUUUUCUGUCCUGCUGGGGAGGGCGAGAGCGCUGGGCAGAGGUGGCACCUGACCCGCUAGAACUCCGAUGUCACUGCUGUGGCUGUUACUCCCCUCGGCAAGAGUCAAGGCGCACGCAGGACGUGAAUCCUACCUCGGACUUGCCUCAUCUUUCUGAGACUAUGGCUCUUCAGGAGAUCUGCCUAUUGCUGAACAGCUGAGACUCUCAGUAGUUCUUAGGUGCAAAGAAAUUGAUGGCUACCUGUCUCCUUUUGGAUGCCACCAGAUCAUUCCAGCCACCUGCCAAUGUGCUGUCUUCAGACAAGGGCAGAUGCCCACAGAAGCUUUGAGGUCCUGAGGCUCCCUGGAGAGAAGAAUAGCAUCCCUGGCAAAGGUAAAGAGAAAGUACAGAAUCUAAGAGCCACCACCCUCUGAUCAAGUGAGUUACAUGAGAAGAGCCGAAGAGAAGUAAGGAAACAUUACGUGGACAUCACUGACCGAGAGCUGUGUGUGCUGUAGCCGGGAAGAUAGAAUGGUGUUUCUCCAGAACUAAAUCUGGCAGCUCAGAGGUUAAUGUGUUUAAUUAUUUAUGCCAAAGUCUGGUCUGCAAAUGCCCGGGUGCUUCCCAUCUCUGUAAGAUCUUCCUGAGCAAAACAAGAAGUUGUUGAUGGGAACUGGAGAUGGAAGUCACUGACCUCCCACUCCCUGGAGGAAAGUGGUACCUAAAACCUGCAAGGAGAUAGUUUGAUUAAACUAGAUGAGAUCUGAUGGUCUGGGUAGUUUAUGAGAACACUGUGUUUGUGUGCAUAGGCUAAAGGCCUCACCGUGGUGCCACAGGAUGGUCUUUCCCUCUUUGGGAAUCAUGGAAUCCAUAAGGUCCCAUUGGAAAUGAGUUGCAAAGCUAGGAGGGCCUUUUCUCAUCCUGUGUUUCUCAAUAAAC